AAAAAAAAAAAAAAAAAACAAAAAAAACAAAAAAAAAAGAGAGAAAAGAAAAGAAGAGAAAAUUUAUUCUCUAUUUUUAAAUUUUAAGAAUGUGCCAAAGUCCAUUUGUCCCCUCACUCUCCUACCCCAGUCUUGUAUACCUUCUGCUGUGUUAGGUCUGACCUUGAUCACAUCAACACUUCAAAGGCUUGGGAUGCUUGGAUAAGGUGGGGCUUUGUCUCUUUAGCAGAGUCCCCAAAGCCAAAGGACCUCAUCACACUAACCCUAAAUAGAUUCCUAUUUCAAAGUGGAGAGAGUGGUACAAAAUCUAGAUUUGAUGUUCUGAUCCACUCCACUGGGAUGGAUUCAUCCCUUGUCACUACAGAGCCAGGCUUUCUCAGAUGGUCCAUGGCAUCAUGCCAGCAAGGCUACUCACAAUCACUGGUCAAGAGGAGACACCAAAGCACUAGGACCUUUCUAGACAACACAGACAAUUCGUUCCUUUAAAUCUUGCCAUUUAAUCUCAGCGAAGGGAGUCUGGCCAAGAAGGGAGUAAACCCAGAAGACAAGAAGUCAAACUUCAAGACCAUCAGACUUCUACCUAAAGACUAGUAUCAUCUGUGCAUUGGCAGGAUGAGCCCCUAUACUUUCAAUAUUUAACUAAAGGCCUAUGCAUUGAAGGCUUGAUCCCAGGGGUGGGACUUGAGAGCUUGUGGAAAAUUCUUUGGUCAUUGUGUGACCCUGAAGGGAACUGAGAGACACUGGUUCCUUUUUUUUUCCUGCUCUGACUCAUGAGGAAGUCAGAAUAUUCUUCCUCCACAUACUCCUUCCAUCCUUCCGUAGUCUGCUUUCCCACUACAGGCCACAGCAAUGGGAUAAAGCAAGCACAGAUUAUAACCUCCAAAACCGUGAGCUGAAAUCACUCUUUUCUCUUUAUGAGUUAUUUGUCUCAGGCAUUCUGCUGUAGCAUCAGGAGAUCCUACAGAGCCUAUGCCUUCCAGAAUCUUCCAUGCCAAUAUGCACUAUCUGAAAAUCAGAAAAGGAUUCUAUCCAAAAACUUGGACUAGAAAUAUAGCUCUAUGGUGGAGUGUUUGCCUAACAUCUGUGAGGCCCUAGAUUCCCUCUCCCACAAAAAGGUAAAACAAGACCAAAACACCCUGCAAAUAUUUUUUCCUGGCUCCAGGAAGCCAAGCAUAAACAUUCUUGGUUUUCUUUUGUCCUCGCCAUCCCAGCCCAGUGCCUGAGGAUAAGUCAGAAUCUUACCACUGUGUCCACUUCCCUGCAACACAGGCAGAGGAAACAUCACCAGCCCAUUGGGCCCGAGAGACAUUGUCCUAGGUAUUAGGCAUUAUAGAAACCCAAACAAUGCUCUCAUUGACUAAAUGCUGUUCUAGUUCCUAAGAGGUUGUGAGACAUAGUAAAUGCAUCCACCCAGUUGCUGAAAAGGUUUCUUUCAUACGAUGUACAAAAUGUGUUGUUAGUCAUUGGAGGCAUUGUAACUCAUUUAAACACAUAUCUGAAUGAAUCUUACUAUUUUAUCUGGGUGAUGACAUGAUGUUUAGAAUGUACCUGAAGCCAAGUCUAGCAGAUAAUAUAUAUAUUCCUUCCUAGACUGGCUGAAGGGCUACACUCCUAGGUCUCUUUUUUUUUUAAUUUCUCAAAGCAAACCUCUCCUUGGUUUCACUCCAAACUUUUAAACUUUAUUGACAUUGUGUCAACUUUAGCUCAAACCUCACCACAUGGAGUAGAAUAUCCAGAAAUGGCUUACACAUGAAAAUCAUUAAGCAUUGGAGCAUUCCAGCAAUCCACUGACAACCUUCUCCAAAGGGAUGUUUAAUGAAACUUCCCCUAGUCUUACUGCCAUGAGGGCAGACUCGUGUGCUUUCUUGUUUCUCCAUUCCUAAUAGAGACAAUUCAGGGUUCUGGAAAUGUAAUAGUCAAAUAUAUUGCUGCCUUACCAAGUUUUUUUUUAAGAUUGAAAAUGUUGGACAAAGACUACUAGGUGUUUUAGAUGCCAGUGUGCUUGACUUUGAAUCAUUUACAGUCUAGUAAGAAAUAUAGUGUGUGUUUAUGUUCAAACACGCAUACACAUAUAUACUGGGAAGUUUCCAAAGUUGGAACUUGAGAAUGUAGGUAGCUGGUGUCUAUGAAAGACAGCAAAAAUCACGAGAGAAGAAAAGAGAAAAUUUAUUGAGCAUUUGCAGAGUGCAGUAACUAUAUCUCAUGGGGACUGUCUCCUCUGAUCAUCACACUAAGUCUUCAUGGUCAAGAGAAACUUGGUUGUGAAUCAAGGCUCAUAGACUCACAAAUACUGUCUACCUGUUGCCUAAGAUGGCACACUAAUGACGCACGCUGUUACACUCAUUUUAUUUAGGUGUUGUCCUCUGUAUCACAGAGACUUUCCACUGCAAAUGUUCAUGUACAUAUAUUGUAGACUAGAUUUCCUCUUGUGCUGUCAGAAUAUCCUAGAGGUGAGGGUAUCCACACUGCCUCAAACAAAUGGUUACAGUUUCCACACUGGCUGAUACAGUCAAACUUCAAGUAAGUCACAAGAAAAUAAAGUUAUAAUCAGCCAACUGGAACUAAUUUCUGUUCCUGCUAAAAUGGCUCCAAUUACCUGCUUACUUUAUUUGCCUUUUCAGGAAAACCUAACUAAAUAGUAGAGGAAAACUAUGGAUACUUUCUAUCAAACCAAAUCCUUUUGCAACCCCAAUAUAAUAAGCAACAAAAUGAAACUGCUCCAGGGGAGGCAAGGUAGAGCUAGAUGGUUUUAGCCUGGCUCUGACUGGACACAUGACAGUCCCCAAGCCUCUGCCUGUGACUCUCUUGAUGCCAUAGAGUAUGGCUGUAGAAACAAUUAGCAUGAGAGCUACUAGACUAUCAGAAAAUAACACAGCCAGGACUUAAACUCCCCAGAAUAAACAAAGCUUCCGAUGCUGACCUCAACAGAGAGGAAGAAAUCACAACAAACAGGACAAGGCUAGGUUCUAAUUUCUUUAAUCCCUUAACUGAAGAUAGAUAGCAGCCAGGAUUCCAUGCCUAAAGUCUAUGUCCAAAGCAAUUUUCUACAGGUAUGGAUAACAGGGAGGAAAUUUCAACCCGUUCAUCACAAGUAUGAAUAUAAAAAUGAACUUGAUGUUAUCCUCAUUAAAGUAUCAAUUUAGACUAUAUCAUUUCAAGUGCAAUGAAGCAGAGCUGAAAUUAGAAAGUUAAUUAUGAUUCAUUUUAUUAUUCUGAUUUGGAGUUUACAGCUGCUUAGAAAUUAAAAUAGAAGAAAAGAGAGAAACAGGAGACUAUAGUUGGGUCUAAAAUCUUCUCCAGAUGGGUGUGUUCAAGGCUGGACCCCAACAGAGUGGAACUUAUAAGAGGUGAUGCCUAAUGAAAACGAAGUCCUCAAGUCACUUGUGUAUCCCCUGGAGGGGACUGAGGAAGCCAGGCCCCUUCUUUCCCUCUUCAGUGUCCCAACUUCACCUUGCCAUGAGUCCCCUCUAGUGGUGUGCUCUCACUUUAGGCCCCAAAGGACUGGGACCAACUGACGGUGGGUUGAAAUUUCCAAGAUCAUAAAGCCAAAAUAAUGUUUUCCUUCUCUGUAAGCUUAUUGCAGGUAUCUUCUGUGUUGAAAAAAACCUGACUGUGACUAAAGAACAACCAGAACUCUGGAGAGCCUAGGCAGUAAGUCGGAAAGCAGGGCCUCCAUUCACCGUGAGAAAAUAUACAAAGAACUCAGCUUCACAGAAGCAGGAAGUUGGGGUCUCCGUGGGCCCAUGUCUCUGACAGUGUUGGUUCAAAAGCUGACAGCUGGAGUUUCCCAAAUUCACUGGAAGAGUUGAAGGAGAGAUGGGCAAGAGACUGGAACAGGGCUGUGGGGAGUGAAGAGCAGAGGGUGUUGUCACGGCAAACAAGGAGGGAGUGAGGGAGUGCUCCAGCUUGAGUGAGGGCUACAUCAUCACGGGCUGCGGUAUCCAUGGAUUACAUCAUCACGGGCUGCAGUAUCCAUGGAUUACAUCAUCACGGGCUACAGUAUCCAUGGAUUACAUCAUCACGGGCUGCAGUAUCCAUGGAUUACAUCAUCACGGGUUGCAGUAUCCAUGGAUUACAUCAUCACGGGCUGCAGUAUCUAUGGAUUACAUCAUCACGGGCUGCAGUAUCCAUGGUUUACAUCAUCACGGGCUGCAGCUCACCCUGGGCUACCAGAAACCCACAGCAGAAAAACAAAUUCAUUCCUCAGGCUGAGGGAUCAGGGCUGAAAUGUUGACCUCUCAGUGUCUGCCAAGCUUAAGUACUAAGCCAAGAAGCGUGUCAUGUAUAACAAGAGUCUGCACCUGCAGUGGGCUGGAGACCAUCAAAAUGCAGUUGCCUCCUGCCCACUGAACCUCUGAGGUGAAGAACAAAGAAGACUUAUAGGUGUCUUAUGUCCAGGAAAGACCAUGAUGAACUCACAGCUGCUUCUCCCUCAAACUCCACUCCACACAGCUCCUUCAAGCCAGGUGUGGUGGAACACCUCUUUAAUCCCCGCACUAGCAGGCAGAGGCAGGUGGAUAUCUGAGUUCGAGGCCAGCAUUGUCUACAGAGUGAGUUCUAGGACAGCCAAGGCUAUGCAGAGAAACCCUGUCUUGAAAAACAAAACAAACAAACAAAAAGAAAAAGAAGAAACAAAUGAGAAAGAGAGAAAUAUACCAUUAAGUCAGUAGCUGAUGUCUUUAGCAUCUUAAGGGAACCCAAUUAUCCUUUUCAUUUCACAUGUUAUUUAGUCAAUUGUAAGGCGUGAGUUUUUACAUUUUAAUAUGUCUUAAAUUAUGAUUCAUAUAGUCAUCAGCAAUGCUCCACAACCACUGUCAGCCAGAGAGUUCAUGGCAGACCACAUGUGAACACACGUGGACUUGUGGCUUGUCUGGACGGCUACAGAUGAUAAAGGUUUCCAUCUAUACAGCAUUGAAGGCUCACUUGGAGCAGCCUGAUUUCCUGAUUGUUAUUUUCUGUAAAGACACAGAAAAUGGCUACAUUAAAACAUGUGGGAAAGGUGAGAAAACACAAGACAGUAGGUGAAGAACAUGAGGGGGCCUUCUUAGGGUGUGGCAGGAAACAGUGAAUGUGGAUAAAGAUAUGAAAAGCAGAAAAACCAAAACUCAGUACAAACGCAGUGCUAAUUAAUUUUGCUUGUGUCUUCCUUUCCAUGGGCUGUACACAGUGAUGUGUGUAUAUGUAAUAUCAAGCAUUCUAAAUACUGAAAUAAUUUAAAUAAGCCUCUAAUAUCUAAAUACAUCUUGGAGGAUACUUUCAUAAAGUUUAAAAUAAAAUUUCUGCCGUUUUUUGAAACUUAUACAUUAUAUACAUGUAUCAAGUGCUCAUGCUGAACCUGAAAAAUAAAUAUAAAUACAUGUUAGUUAAAAGUUUCAAAUAAGAAAUUAAAUUACACAUGGCAUAAGUAGCAGUGAUAUGUCACAAUUUGUACAAAGUUGUUCUUUUUUGGUAACAUACAAAAUACAGUAGCUUAAAUUUAAGAGAAUUUUAAGCUUAAUGAAAUGCAACAGUAUCCCCUUUUGUGAGGUCUAUAAUUUUAUUUGAAUCUCUCCAGCAGUCCUUUCUUCCAACUUACACCCCAUUUUUCACUUUUCAAAAGACUGAUGACCUCCCUAAAGUGACUCAGACACAUGGCAGAGAAAGUUGGCACUGGCAACAUCUAUGCUUCUCUUCUUAUUCCAGAGAAUGGGACACAAUGACAAACCCUGGCCUUUGUAAUGACAUGAACUCAUGUGUACCAGUCACCACCGAUGAAUUCUGGUGGAACUGAUGUAUGCCACCUCCAAUCACUUGCAUAGUAAUUUUAACUCAACCUUGUGACCCUCUUCCAAGUGGUCUAAUGGUAACUCCCAGGGCAAUUUUGAGGAGUCCCAGCUAACCAUAGAAGACCCCCAUGCAUAACUGGCAUCCUUGUCUGAUUGGAACAAGAUACCCCUAACUACCAAUGCCUGCUAUGCUCUGUUGCAAUACAGGCUUUAAUUGUGUUAAUCCAUUGAGAUAUGGCAUGUUUUGUGUGUUGUCAUAGUUGUUACGGUGGUUAUCUUGCCCCCUUCUCUGGUGCUUCUUCUCCCAACCAUUCAUAUUUACAACCCUUCUUUUUAUCAUGUAGAUCUACACUUAUGACACAUGUUCAGAAGAAUCAUCCCUGGCCUUCCUAGCUCUCCAAUCCCUCCCCCUACUUAAUUAGCUACCUUAUUAACUACCUGUCCUGAGUUGAAAGCAACACAGGUUCAUGAUAUAACA